rnacentral:lncRNA from 1 species
GAGCUCGCCUUUUCUUUUGUAUGAAUGAUUAGUUGUUUAAUCGUUUUUUAAUUUCUCAUUACAUUUUUGUCCUUUUGGAAGUAUUAAACCUGCAGAAGUUGAACAUUAUAAACAAUACGUAGUAUAAAGAAAAAAAUAAAAAAUAACAAUAAAAAUAAUAAUAAUAGAUAUACGUAUAUGUAUAUACGCUCUUUUUACUUUUAGAUAGAAAAUGAAACCAAAAGGCAACAAAAAUUAGACAAAAAAAAAAGAAUUGAAAGCAUUAUAUGGAGAAGAAGAAAAAACAUAUAAAUCAAAUAAGGAAAAUAAAUCGUCAAAUACUAAAGUGACUCAGGCUGUAAUUUUACAACGAUUAAUUGAGGAGAAAAAGAAAGAACUAAAAAUAGAAGAGAAAAAGAAUAAUCUUAAUGUGCACGAGAUGGAAUUAGAAGAAAACAUUAACCACAUCCAAAGAGACCAACUAUUAAACAAUGAAGAUUGUAUAUAUGCUACCGGAAUUGAUAAUGUUAUUUCAGCUUUGGAAAAUGUGUCGUUUGAAAAAACCAAAAAAUUGAAAGCAGCCUAUAAAAAAUAUGAGGAAGAAAAUUUACCACUCAUUAAAGAGCAAUAUAAAGGUUUAAAGUUAUCUCAGUUCAAGCAAAUUUUAUGGAAACAGGUAUAAACUGAUAUGUAGUAUUUAAAUAUAUAUACAUAUAUAAUAUGUAUUGCUUUAUAUCGUUAAAUGCGAAACAAAUAACUUUGGGAACAUCAGUACAUUUGUAAUCGAUAUGUUCCACACAAUAACAUAAAUAUAUAUAUAUAUAUAUAUAUUUAUAUAUACAUAUAUGUCUGCAUACUUGUUAUUUUUUACAGUUUAAAAAAUCAGCGGAUAAUCCACUGAAUCAAAAA